rnacentral:rRNA from 1 species
UACGGAGGGUGCAAGCGUUAAUCGGAAUUACUGGGCGUAAAGCGUGCGCAGGCGGUUUUGUAAGUCUGUCGUGAAAUCCCCGGGCUCAACCUGGGAAUGGCGAUGAAGACUGCAAGGCUAGAAUCUGGCAGAGGGGGGUAGAAUUCCACGUGUAGCAGUGAAAUGCGUAGAGAUGUGGAGGAACACCGAUGGCGAAGGCAGCCCCCUGGGUCAAGAUUGACGCUCAUGCACGAAAGCGUGGGGAGCAAACAGG